rnacentral:rRNA from 1 species
AUACGUAGGUGACAAGCGUUAUCCGGAUUUACUGGGCGUAAAGGGCGUGUAGCCGGUCUUGCAAGUCAGAAGUGAAAUUCCUGAGCUCAACUCGGGCGCUGCUUCUGAAACUGCAGGACUUGAGUGCUGGAGGGGAUAGCGGAAUUCCUAGUGGAGCGGUAAAAUGCGCAGAUAUUAGGAGGAACACCAGAGGCGAAGGCGGCUUACUGGACUGUAACUGACGUUGAGGCUCGAAGGCGUGGGGAGCAAACAGGAUUAGAUACCCUGGUAGUCCACGCGGUAAACGAUGAUCACUAGGUGUUGGCACGCAUAGCGUGUCGGUGCCGCAGCAAACGCAAUAAGUGAUCCACCUGGGGAGUACGUUCGCAAGAAUGAAACUCAAAUGAAUUGGCGGGG